GACGAACGCUGGCGGCGUGCUUAACACAUGCAAAUCGAACGGUAAGGCCCUUCGGGGUACACGAGUGGCGAACGGGUGAGUAACACGUGGGUGAUCUGCCCUGCACUUCGGGAUAAGCCUGGGAAACUGGGUCUAAUACCGGAUAGGACCACUGCCUGCAUGGGUGGUGGUGGAAAGCUUUUGCGGUGUGGGAUGGGCCCGCGGCCUAUCAGCUUGUUGGUGGGGUGAUGGCCUACCAAGGCGACGACGGGUAGCCGGCCUGAGAGGGUGACCGGCCCCACUGGGACUGAGAUACGGCCCAGACUCCUACGGGAGGCAGCAGUGGGGCAUAUUGCACAAUGGGCGAAAGCCUGAUGCAGGGACGCCGCGUGAGGGAUGACGGCCUUCGGGUUGUAAACCUCUUUCAGCAUCGACGAAGCGAAAGUGACGGUAGGUGCAGAAGAAGGACCGGCCAACUACGUGCCAGCCGCCGCAGUAA
rnacentral:rRNA from 1 species